rnacentral:tRNA from 19 species
GGGCGCGUAGCUCAGGUGGCCAGAGCACUACCUUGACACGGUAGGGGUCGGUGGUUCAAGUCCACUCGCGCCCACCA